UGUCCUGGUUGACGGUAAAUUUCGAAGACUCGCACAGUGUUUGUAUUGUCUGUAUUGUCUUUUUCGGCUCGACUGGAAAGUUACUAAUUUUAUGAUAUAUCUUCUAAAUUUCUCACUGAGAAAAAUAUAAAUUACAAAAUUUGCCAUGCAUCCAAAUAGCAAAAUAAAAUUCAAAAUAUCACUUAAAAGAAAUUUAACAUCAUCUUUCAUAAACUUAACUUUAAACCACCAAGCUAUUACCUCAUGGAUAACGCCGACUGUCACGGGAAUUUCCGUCACUAAAAAUAUUCCAAC
rnacentral:lncRNA from 1 species